AGUUCACUGCAUCGGCAAAGCUUGAGAGAUUUGUAGCCCACGCAGACAACUACACAACCAAGGGAAUUCUCAAAGGGCUCCCCUACUCCACCUCGGGAACCAUGGAAUUUGCCGCCAAUAAUCUGGAGGCUGUUGUUUCGCUGAGAAUCGCAAGAUUUACGUUCACGCCGUUUCAAAUCUGUCUUGCGGAACAGUCGCUCAGGGUUGACCUUACUGGAGAGAGCUUCGAGGCAAACUUUGAAAACGCAGAUGAGCUGAAUGCCGAAAUGAAUGCACACGGGGCUGAACUAGUGGCAGAACUACAAGAAAAGAUAAGGGCACAUGGCGAUGACGUCAUCAAUUGGGUCAACUUCAUAUUUUGCGAUCGCCUGUAAACCACAAUGGUUUUGCUUCCUGCUCGGACAAAGGCCACGCCCACAUGGAGGCAUGGGUGCCAAAUGUUUCUAGACAUUUAAUUUGCCUAUAAAUUUAAUGUGUUUCUCCACGAAAACUUAAUAAAAAUGGAUAUAAGGAAGCUCAAAAUACUGUAUACUUGAUACACGAUACGAAUUUUGCUUAUCCUAUUACAAAUUUAUCUGUGAAAAAAAGAUAUUAAAUAAGAAAAUUACAAAUUUUGAUUCUGCAAGGCUCAUUUUGUAGACAAAAUAAUUUUUCUUUGUUAUUCUGUAAAGUAAAUAAAUUCAUUUGUAUAGAAUGGGAUCAUUAUAA